rnacentral:lncRNA from 1 species
GUAAACGCACCAAUCAGCACCCUGUCAAAAAGGACCACUCAGCUCUCUGUAAAACACACCAGUCAGCUCUCUGUAAAAUGGGCCAAUCAGCAGGAUGUGGGUGGGGGCCAGAUAAGGGAAUAAAAGCAGGCUGCCCGAGCCAGCAGUGGCAACCCGCUCUGGUCACCUUCCACCGUGUGGUAGCUUUGUUGUUUCACUGUUUGCAAUCCACCUUGCUAUUGCUUACUCUUUGGGUCCACACUGCCUUUAUGAGCUGUAAUACUCACUGCGAGGGUUUGCAGCUUCACUCCUGAAGCCAGCCAGACCACGAACCCACCGGGAGGAACGAACAACUCCAGACGCGCUGCUUUAAGAGCUGUAACAUUCACUGCGAAGGUCUACAGCUUCACUCUUGAAGCCAGAGAGACCACGAACCCACCAGAAGGAAGAAACUCCGAACACAUCCGAACAGCAUAAGGAGCAAACUCCAGACACGCUGCCUUUAAGAACUGUAACACUUACCGCUAGGGUCCGCGGCUUCAUUCUUGAAGUCAGUGAGACCAAGAACCCACCAAUUCCAGAAACGAUAUGAUGGUUUUAAAACUGGCAGUUUUUCCUGCUCACUCUGUCUCCUGUCUCCAUGUAAGACGUACUCUGUUUCCCCUUCACCUUCUGCCAUGAGUUUAAGUUUCCUGAGGUCUCUCCAGCCAUGCGGAACUUGGUGCGAAUAAAGAGCCGAAUAACUUAUGUACUACUCUACAUGUGAUAGGACAAAACUAAGAAAAUUUUAAUAGGCUGGAAAAGGUUUGUCAAAACAAUCUCU